rnacentral:misc_RNA from 1 species
GGAAGACUUAGCUAUGGCGUCAUGGGGUUCAUCUUCUUGUCUCCAAAAUUACAGCUUAACCAAAAACCCAUUUUCCGAAACAGUGAAAUUUUCAGAAAGAACUUCAAUUUUAACAAUUGUUGCUCAGAAAAAAGCCAAGAAAGUUCGAAAGAUAAUACUGAAAGAGGAUAUUUCACAGUUGGGUAAAAAGGGAGACCUUUUGGAUGUUAAAGCUGGAUUCUUUAGGAAUUAUUUGCUACCAUUGGGCAAAGCUCAAAUUGUGACAGCUGCACUUAUCAAGGAAAUGAAGAUGGAAGACGAGAAAAUUGAGGCUGAAAAACAACGGGUGAAAGAUGAGGCACAACAGCUUGCUCGAAUUUUUGAAACUAUUGGAGCCUUCAAGGUGAAGCGUAAGGGUGGGAAAGGAAAGCAAAUAUUUGGAAGUGUCACUGCUCAGGAUCUCGUUGAUAUUAUAAAAGCACAGAUACAGAGGGACGUGGACAAGAAAAUUGUCAAUCUGCCUGAGAUUCGAGAAACCGGAGAAUAUGUUGCCGAAUUGAAGCUGCAUCCAGAAGUUACAGCUAGAGUAAGGUUGACAGUGUAUGCCAAUUGAGAUUAGGGGCUUUUUGGUGCAGUUGAUGCCAAGUCAGGAUUUUGCUGUAUCGGCUCGCUGGGCCAAGGUAGGGAGGACACGCUAAUAAACAAUGUAAUACAUCAGAUUCAGACUCCACAUAUGGACCCCAAGUUUGUAAAUGAAUUUUCUUCUUUUUGAGAUCAUUUGUCCUGACCUGUAACAUCAUUCUCAUCCUAACUAAGCCUUGUUAUUA